rnacentral:rRNA from 1 species
GGUUAAGCGACUAAGCGUACACGGUGGAUGCCCUGGCAGUCAGAGGCGAUGAAGGACGUGCUAAUCUGCGAAAAGCGUCGGUAAGGUGAUAUGAACCGUUAUAACCGGCGAUGUCCGAAUGGGGAAACCCAGUGCAAUUCGUUGCACUAUCGUUAACUGAAUACAUAGGUUAACGAGGCGAACCGGGGGAACUGAAACAUCUAAGUACCCCGAGGAAAAGAAAUCAACCGAGAUUCCCCCAGUAGCGGCGAGCGAACGGGGAGCAGCCCAGAGUCUGAAUCAGCUUGUGUGUUAGUGGAACGGUCUGGAAAGUCCGACGGUACAGGGUGAUAGUCCCGUACACCAAAAUGCACAGGCUGUGAACUCGAAGAGUAGGGCGGGACACGUGGUAUCCUGUCUGAAUAUGGGGGGACCAUCCUCCAAGGCUAAAUACUCCUGACUGACCGAUAGUGAACCAGUACCGUGAGGGAAAGGCGAAAAGAACCCCGGCGAGGGGAGUGAAAAAGAACCUGAAACCGUGUACGUACAAGCAGUGGGAGCACCUUCGGGUGUGACUGCGUACCUUUUGUAUAAUGGGUCAGCGACUUAUAUUCUGUAGCAAGGUUAACCGUAUAGGGGAGCCGCAGGGAAACCGAGUCUUAACUGGGCGUUAAGUUGCAGGGUAUAGACCCGAAACCCGGUGAUCUAGCCAUGGGCAGGUUGAAGGUUGGGUAACACUAACUGGAGGACCGAACCGACUAAUGUUGAAAAAUUAGCGGAUGACUUGUGGCUGGGGGUGAAAGGCCAAUCAAACCGGGAGAUAGCUGGUUCUCCCCGAAAGCUAUUUAGGUAGCGCCUCGUGAACUCAUCUUCGGGGGUAGAGCACUGUUUCGGCUAGGGGGUCAUCCCGACUUACCAACCCGAUGCAAACUACGAAUACCGAAGAAUGUUAUCACGGGAGACACACGGCGGGUGCUAACGUCCGUCGUGAAGAGGGAAACAACCCAGACCGCCAGCUAAGGUCCCAAAGUCAUGGUUAAGUGGGAAACGAUGUGGGAAGGCACAGACAGCCAGGAUGUUGGCUUAGAAGCAGCCAUCAUUUAAAGAAAGCGUAAUAGCUCACUGGUCGAGUCGGCCUGCGCGGAAGAUGUAACGGGGCUAAACCAUGCACCGAAGCUGCGGCAGCGACACUAUGUGUUGUUGGGUAGGGGAGCGUUCUGUAAGCCUGCGAAGGUGACCUGUGAGGGUUGCUGGAGGUAUCAGAAGUGCGAAUGCUGACAUAAGUAACGAUAAAGCGGGUGAAAAGCCCGCUCGCCGGAAGACCAAGGGUUCCUGUCCAACGUUAAUCGGGGCAGGGUGAGUCGACCCCUAAGGCGAGGCCGAAAGGCGUAGUCGAUGGGAAACAGGUUAAUAUUCCUGUACUUGGUGUUACUGCGAAGGGGGGACGGAGAAGGCUAUGUUAGCCGGGCGACGGUUGUCCCGGUUUAAGCAUGUAGGCUGAUUGUCCAGGCAAAUCCGGAUAAUCAAGGCUGAGGUGUGAUGACGAGGCACUACGGUGCUGAAGUAACAAAUGCCCUGCUUCCAGGAAAAGCCUCUAAGCAUCAGGUAACAUCAAAUCGUACCCCAAACCGACACAGGUGGUCAGGUAGAGAAUACCAAGGCGCUUGAGAGAACUCGGGUGAAGGAACUAGGCAAAAUGGUGCCGUAACUUCGGGAGAAGGCACGCUGGUGUGUAGGUGAAGUCCCUGCGGAUGGAGCUGAGACCAGUCGAAGAUACCAGCUGGCUGCAACUGUUUAUUAAAAACACAGCACUGUGCAAACACGAAAGUGGACGUAUACGGUGUGACGCCUGCCCGGUGCCGGAAGGUUAAUUGAUGGGGUUAUCCGUAAGGAGAAGCUCUUGAUCGAAGCCCCGGUAAACGGCGGCCGUAACUAUAACGGUCCUAAGGUAGCGAAAUUCCUUGUCGGGUAAGUUCCGACCUGCACGAAUGGCGUAAUGAUGGCCAGGCUGUCUCCACCCGAGACUCAGUGAAAUUGAACUCGCUGUGAAGAUGCAGUGUACCCGCGGCAAGACGGAAAGACCCCGUGAACCUUUACUAUAGCUUGACACUGAACAUUGAGCCUUGAUGUGUAGGAUAGGUGGGAGGCUUUGAAGCGUGGACGCCAGUCUGCGUGGAGCCAACCUUGAAAUACCACCCUUUAAUGUUUGAUGUUCUAACGUUGGCCCCUGACCGGGGUUGCGGACAGUGUCUGGUGGGUAGUUUGACUGGGGCGGUCUCCUCCCAAAGCGUAACGGAGGAGCACGAAGGUUAGCUAAUCCUGGUCGGACAUCAGGAGGUUAGUGCAAUGGCAUAAGCUAGCUUGACUGCGAGCGUGACGGCGCGAGCAGGUGCGAAAGCAGGUCAUAGUGAUCCGGUGGUUCUGAAUGGAAGGGCCAUCGCUCAACGGAUAAAAGGUACUCCGGGGAUAACAGGCUGAUACCGCCCAAGAGUUCAUAUCGACGGCGGUGUUUGGCACCUCGAUGUCGGCUCAUCACAUCCUGGGGCUGAAGUAGGUCCCAAGGGUAUGGCUGUUCGCCAUUUAAAGUGGUACGCGAGCUGGGUUUAGAACGUCGUGAGACAGUUCGGUCCCUAUCUGCCGUGGGCGCUGGAGAAUUGAGGGGGGCUGCUCCUAGUACGAGAGGACCGGAGUGGACGCAUCACUGGUGUUCGGGUUGUCAUGCCAAUGGCACUGCCCGGUAGCUAAAUGCGGAAGAGAUAAGUGCUGAAAGCAUCUAAGCACGAAACUUGCCCCGAGAUGAGUUCUCCCUGAGACUUUAAGUCUCCUGAAGGAACGUUAAAGACGAUGACGUUGAUAGGCCGGGUGUGUAAGCGCAGCGAUGCGUUGAGCUAACCGGUACUAAUGAACCGUGAGGCUUAACCUU